rnacentral:rRNA from 1 species
AUUCCGGUUGAUCCUGCCGGAGGCCAUUGCUAUUGGGAUCCGAUUUAGCCAUGCUAGUCGCACGAGUUCAGACUCGUGGCGAAUAGCUCAGUAACACGUGGCCAAACUACCCUUCGGAACACAAUACCCUCGGGAAACUGAGGCUAAUAGUGUAUACCACAUCACCACUGGAAUGAGUGAUGUGCCAAACGCUCCGG